UUUCCUUCUCCGACAGUUUCACAGAUGAGGGCAUAAAAGCUCCAGUCAGUGCCUUCACUGCAACCUCAUCAGAGACCCUGAUCCAGAAUGUCCCAGUUUCCCCACCCCAAGCUGUGCCUGCAUUCCUUGACCAUCAGAUACUUUGAGAAGCAAUGCUUGCUGUUUAGAUGCACUAAGUUUUAAGCAAUGGCACCCAUGAGUACUAGCAGUCAUUGUAUUCUUCACUACAACAUACAGAAAAAGGCAAGCUUCAUUUAAUAAUGUCCCUGAUAAAGUAGUGUAAACUAUUAAUUUUAUUAAAA